rnacentral:lncRNA from 1 species
CUUUUCUUCUUUUUUCUUUUUCUUUUCGAGCUCUUCUGGGGUUAAUUCCUUUCCGUCUGAUGCUGCCGCCGCCGCCUAUUAUCAGAAACUCAAUAAUUUAAAUCAAACAGAUUCUACCACAAUGUGCAUCACAAAAAAACUACCUCCAAAUAUUCUUACCUCCGUUUUACAAUUUUUCACAGUCUCUUGUGAUUUACCCGACGAGUCAGCCUACAAUCAGUUCAGUUCACAACAAUAAAAAACUAGAGAAAGUUUGAAUUUUCAAAAACGAUAUAUAUUAGUAAAAGAGAAAAACUCACCAUAGUAUCGGAUUUAGAAGAGAAAAUACAGCGACGGAGAUUAAAGUACGAAGAAGAAAACGACGUCGGAGAUGGCCGCCGGCGGCCGAUGAAAGUGGACUGAGCAAGUAAACACUGGGAGGCUUUGAGAAGUACCCUAAGGCAAGCCGUUAUGGAUUGUUAGA